CUACGGGUGAGUAUCGCGUAGGGAUCUAUCCACGGGUGGGGGAUAACAUCGGGAAACUGGUGCUAAUACCGCAUGAUACCUGAGGGUCAAAGGCGCAAGUCGCCUGUGGAGGAGCCUGCGUUCGAUUAGCUUGUUGGUGGGGUAAAGGCCUACCAAGGCGAUGAUCGAUAGCUGGUCUGAGAGGAUGAUCAGCCACACUGGGACUGAGACACGGCCCAGACUCCUACGGGAGGCAGCAGUGGGGAAUAUUGGACAAUGGGCGAAAGCCUGAUCCAGCAAUGCCGCGUGUGUGAAGAAGGUCUUCGGAUUGUAAAGCACUUUCGACGGGGACGAUGAUGACGGUACCCGUAGAAGAAGCCCCGGCUAACUUCGUGCCAGCAGCCGCGGUAAUACGAAGGGGGCUAGCGUUGCUCGGAAUGACUGGGCGUAAAGGGCGCGUAGGCGGUUUACACAGUCAGAUGUGAAAUUCCAGGGCUUAACCUUGGGGCUGCAUUUGAUACGUGUAGACUAGAGUGUGAGAGAGGGUUGUGGAAUUCCCAGUGUAAGGUGAAAUUCGUAGAUAUUGGGAAGAACACCGGUGGCGAAGGCGGCAACCUGGCUCAUUACUGACGCUGAGGCGCGAAAAGCGUGGGGAGCAAACAGGGAUUAGAUACCCCUGGUA
rnacentral:rRNA from 1 species